rnacentral:rRNA from 6 species
ACGGGUGAGUAACGCGUGGGAAUCUACCGUGCCCUGCGGAAUAGCUCCGGGAAACUGGAAUUAAUACCGCAUACGCCCUACGGGGGAAAGAUUUAUCGGGGUAUGAUGAGCCCGCGUUGGAUUAGCUAGUUGGUGGGGUAAAGGCCUACCAAGGCGACGAUCCAUAGCUGGUCUGAGAGGAUGAUCAGCCACAUUGGGACUGAGACACGGCCCAAACUCCUACGGGAGGCAGCAGUGGGGAAUAUUGGACAAUGGGCGCAAGCCUGAUCCAGCCAUGCCGCGUGAGUGAUGAAGGCCUUAGGGUUGUAAAGCUCUUUCACCGGAGAAGAUAAUGACGGUAUCCGGAGAAGAAGCCCCGGCUAACUUCGUGCCAGCAGCCGCGGUAAUACGAAGGGGGCUAGCGUUGUUCGGAAUUACUGGGCGUAAAGCGCACGUAGGCGGAUAUUUAAGUCAGGGGUGAAAUCCCAGAGCUCAACUCUGGAACUGCCCUUUGAUACUGGGUAUCUUGAGUAUGGAAGAGGUAAGUGGAAUUCCGAGUGUAGAGGUGAAAUUCGUAGA